rnacentral:rRNA from 1 species
AUUGAACGCUGGCGGCAGGCCUAACACAUGCAAGUCGAACGAGUGGCGGACGGGUGAGUAAUGUCUGGGAAACUGCCUGAUGGAGGGGGAUAACUACUGGAAACGGUAGCUAAUACCGCAUAACCUCGGAUGUGCCCAGAUGGGAUUAGCUAGUAGGUGGGGUAAAGGCUCACCUAGGCGACGAUCCCUAGCUGGUCUGCGAGGAUGACCAGCAACACUGGAACUGAGACACGGUCCAGACGCCUACGGGAGGCAGCAGUGGGGAAUAUUGCACAAUGGGCGCAAGCCGGAUGCAGCAAUGCCGCGUGUAUGAAGAAGGCCUUCGGGUUGUAAAGGACUUGCAGCGGGGAGGCGUUACCCGCAGAAGAAGCACCGGCUAACUCCGUGCCAGCAGCCGCGGUAAUUC